AUUGAACGCUGGCGGCAGGCCUAACACAUGCAAGUCGAGCGAGCGGCGGACGGGUGAGUAAUGUAUGGGGACUGCCCGAUCGAGGGGGAUAACGACUGGAAACGGUGGCUAAUACCGCAUACUAUCGGCUAGCCCAUGUCGGAUUAGCUAGUAGGUGGGGGAAAGGCUCACCUAGGCGACGAUCCCUAUCUGGUCUGAGAGGAUGAUCAGCCACACGGGGACUGAGAAACGGCCCAGACUCCUACGGAGGCAGCAGUGGGGAAUAUUGCACAAUGGGCGCAAGCCUGAUGCAGCCAUGCCGCGUGUAUGAAGAAGGCCUUAGGGUUGUAAAGUACUUUCAGCGGGGAGGCGUUACCCGCAGAAGAAGCACCGGCUAACUCCGUGCCAGCAGCCGCGGUAAUAC
rnacentral:rRNA from 1 species